rnacentral:rRNA from 1 species
GCCUACCAUGCAGUCGAGGGGCAUCACGGGUAGCAAUACUUGGUGGCGACCGGCGCACGGCCGAUUAACGCGUAUGCAACCUACCUAUAACAGGGGGAUAGCCCGAAUAAAUUCGGAUUAAAACCGCAUAAUAUUAUCGGAUCGCAUGGUUUGAUGAUAAAAGCUUCGGUGGUUAUAGAUGGGCAUGCGUGACAUUAGAUAGUUGGUGAGGUAACGGCUCACCAAGUCUACGAUGUCUAGGGGGCCUGAGAGGGUAGUCCCCCACACUGGUACUGAGACACGGACCAGACUCCUACGGGAGGCAGCAGUGAGGAAUAUUGCGCAAUGGACGAAAGUCUGACGCAGCCAUGCCGCGUGCAGGAUGACGGCCCUAUGGGUUGUAAACUGCUUUUGUUUAGGAAGAAACUCAUCUACGUGUAGAUGACUGACGGUACUAUAUGAAUAAGCAUCGGCUAACUCCGUGCCAGCAGCCGCGGUAAUACGGAGGAUGCAAGCGUUAUCCGGAUUUAUUGGGUUUAAAGGGUGCGUAGGCGGGGAAUUAAGUCAGUGGUGAAAUACUGCAGCUUAACUGUAGCACUGCCAUUGAUACUGAUUUUCUUGAGUGCGGUUGAAGUAGGCGGAAUGUGUAAUGUAGCGGUGAAAUGCUUAGAGAUUACACAGAACACCGAUUGCGUAGGCAGCUUACUAAGCCGUAACUGACGCUGAGGCACGAAAGUGUGGGGAUCGAACAGGAUUAGAUACCCUGGUAGUCCACACUGUA